CUCUCCCGUCCAUGCAUCUAAAACCUUGAAUCACAAGUCUUUGCGCCGAGAUUUCAAAUGGGUUUUGACCCUUUUGGUUGAAAGAUUGAAACUUUAUGAAGAAAACAGAGUACACACUACCCUAGAAAAGAAGCAAAGCUAAAUCUUGAGCUCACUUAGAAAAUAGCAGAUUCGAAAUUACGAAAGGUUAAGACAAGAGGAGAAAGAAGAAGUUAGAUUUGAUUUCGAAAUCAAGGGCUUCCGAGAUGAAAAAACGCAAAUGUACAUCAGAGAGGAGACAAGGGAAGAUGACAGAAGAGACAGAACAGAAGAGAAGAGAAAAGAGGGAGAAACAACAGAUUUAUAAUUUUUAUAAAUAUUGUGAAGAGAGAAACAAUGAAAUUUUAGGUCUUCUCUGAAAGUUAGAAGACUGAAGAAAAGAGGAGAGAGACUGACGACUGAAGACUGACGAGUGACGACCACUAUUUUUCUAUAUAUAUUUUUAAUUAUUUUAUUCAAAUAAACUACUUGGUUUUUAUAAUAGUAUUAAAUUGGCUUGUUUAAGAAUAAUUUUAUUCAAAAGCUUUUGAACUUUCCUUUUUAUAACAAAAUUUAAUGUCUCUCAUAUACCUCUGACUGAAAAUGAAGUUUAGUCAAAUAUAAUAAUUUAAUGCCUUUCAUGUAUAAAUAAAUUAUAUGCUUUUUAAGUUUUUUUUUCUCAUGAAAAUAAAAUGCUCAUUUCCGAUAACAAUAUUUUUGUUGUAUGUUUAAUAUUUUAUAUGGUAAGAUUUAUGAAAAUAAAUGUCUAUAUGUAUUUAUAUAUUAUUAUGUUAUUUUGCGAGAAAUUAUUAUGAAAAUAUAUAAGUAUAUAUAUAUAUAUAUAUAUCAUAUUAUGUUUUUCAUUUAGAUGAAAUUAAUGAACAUAGGGAGUACAUGCAUAUUUAUAGUGAAAAUAAAAUUAUGAAAUAUGCUUGAGUCUGUUAAUAAGAUAUUGAUGGAUCUGGAUAAUUAUUAUUUAUAUUUUAUUAUUGUGAAUAUUGUUUUUUGAAUAUUCAGCUUAUAUUACAUGAUGCUUUUAAAAAAUUUUAUCAAAGAAAAAUUUAUCGGAUAAAAUUUAUAAAGGGCGACGUUCUAUAGUUCUUCGAAUUGAAUAUUGCAAAUGUAUUUUUUCCAAACUAAAAAUUAUAAUCUUGUUUUUUUCAAACUUAUAGUUUGAAAGUUAAUUAUAUAUUAGAGCUUGAGCCGUGAACCUACGUGAAUAGUCUAUUUUAUAAUAUAUAUGUAUAUAUAUAAAACAGAACAAUUUAAUGGUUUUAUUUAUGCUACUUUAAUUUAUUGUUCAGAUUAAAUAUUUCGUUAGUAUAUUGUGUUAUAUUUUUUAUUGGAUUUUUGUUGGAUCAAUUAUGUAGUUCUACGAAAAAAGUUGGAUCUAUAUAUUAAUAUACUAUAUCAGGUCAAAUUUUUAUUGACAUUUCUUUCAUAUUUAAUUGCAUGAUUCAAAUGUAUAAUUAAUAUAUUAAGAGUUUAGGUCAAAUUGAAAAUAUUUUUAAAACCAGUAGGAUGGAUAUAAAUUGAUCCGCCUGUUUUGACAAAAAUCAUGAGCAUAAAGUUAAUAUAUAUGCAAAAUAUAAAGCCGAUAUUUCUGAUAAUAUUUCAUUUUUUAUAAAAUAAAUCAAUGGUAAUAUUCUUAAAUAUUUGUAAUAAGAAAGGUUACAACACGAGUGAAUCACGCUUAUAUAUAUUGGUACCCUCUUAUCUAAUAUUCACUAUUUUGACGACAUCCACUUCAGUUUUCUCUUAAAAUUUCAGGUUUAAAUUUCAAUGUUCCAUCUUCUUGUUUUUUAUAUCGUUUUGGUUUCGUAAGUUCCAGAAAAAUUGUGGUUCUUUUUUGCUUAUAAGAACAUGAUUAUCGGGGAGUUUUUAGGGAAAUGUUCUUAUAUUCCGCUAAAAAUCUCAUCCUAAAAAUUACUAAUAAUUAUGUUCUUAUGACUCGAGAAAAAAUGGGUUCCUUAUUAGAUUUUGUAGAAAUUUUUAUGUUUUUAAUUUAAUGACAAAAUAAAAGAUGUAUCGUUGACAAAAGAGAAAAAAAAAAAAAGAGAGAGAGAGAGAACGGGACCUACUUGAAAAGAGCCAAGAAGAGAGAGGAUAUCUCUUCUCUUUCUCUCUCACAUGUCUGAAUCACUUUGCUAUUUCUUUCUUUGCUUCGGACAGUGAGCCUCCUUUCCUAACUUUAUUUAUUUUCAAUUUUUAUUUUCUCCUUUUUAAUUUGACUUUCUUUUUUAUCUUUCAAUUUUUAUUCGAGAAAGUAUUUAUAUAUGUGUAAUAAUAUAUUGAGGAAAGUUCCACCUAAUUUGAAAGUUUGUAUGAUGCAUUUAAUAUCCGGUGGCUAAAGAAUCCGACCAAUACAAUCCAAUUUGUCAACAUUUUGUACAAUAUAGUCUUUAGAUAUUGUUUUGCUAUAUAUAUCCCACUAUAUAAAAGAAGCUAUUUUUAAGCUUCCUAAGGCUAUCCACAUUGUCAAAAUAAUCAGGACCAAUCAAAGUGCCACGUCACUGGCGGAUUGGGCUUCAAAUUAAAAAAAAAAACGAAAUCAUCCCGGCCCAGUCAUACACUCAUCUCGCAGCCUCUUUUGUGUCUCAGCCCAUUAAGCUCUUAAGGUUCGGGUUAUAGCCUCCUCUUGCUCUGAAAUCAUCACCCCUAACCUAAACGCCGUCUCGCUUUGUUCUGCGAUUCUCUUCCUCUCCCCCAACUCAUCCUCCAUAACGCCUCCGAUGAGAGUGAUGGUACUUCAAUGUGCUCUCAUAAAUCCUCCAUCCAUGAUCCCCAAAGACCUUCCACAUACCCUCUCCGUCUCGAUGAUAUCUACAUCCCUAUUUAUAGCCUUACCUCAGAUCGUAAAAUCCAUACCCGUACCUCAGAUCUUAAAAUCCAAACCCUCAUCAUGGCAAAAACGGUGAAAACGACUGCGAUGUUUAAACGGGAACAAAGAUAAGGAUAAAGAUCGAGAGUUAGAGAAAGCACACAUUGAGAUCUAAGUGUUAAAGUUAUCUGAGAGAUAGAGAGAGAAAGCUCUUGAAGAAGUUUGUUGUUGUUGUUGUCUGUUUUUUUCAUGUUUUUGUUGUGUUUUGUGUUCGUUGAAUAUUUAGUGAAUUCUGUAAAGGAAGUUCAAGUCAAUAUGUGAGUUUAUUUGUUCCUUUCAAAACAAAUUUUAAGUUUUCAACUUUCUGAAGUUGAGCAGUUCAUUUAUCAUGAAAUGCUUCUGGUGCAUUUACCCCUAAGUGCGUACCAUGCGAUAUCAUUCAGAAUUAUACUAACUCUUGAAUUUUGGAUUAAUUAUUAAAUCAUGUUGGCACCUUGACUUCUAUGUUUUACACUGUCUUUUAUAUCUUGGUUGCAAGUUGUGAGCUUUCAGCAACUAACAACUAAGCAACUAACAAAGCUAAUUCCCGAGAACGCCGGUGGUUUCAAGUCGUUGAUUAAGAUUCUGCCUGCACAAGCUGUGAAGCUUCUCUAUUUUAGUGAUUCACCGUCGUCGUCUUCUCAGGCGGUGGCCGACGGUUCAGAUAUUGGUGAGUGUCUAUGCGAGGAUUUUGGAUGGUUUUUUAUUGGAUGGGUUUUGUUAGACACGCAUAGCGUGCAUAAUCUUGGUAUAGUUCUUCUUCUAUUUCUUCUAACACAGUGACUGGUUGGGGUGUCUAUAGAAGGAUUUCACCAUUUUUAAAGGCUUCAGUGCUUUGUCAAUUGCUUCACAUUAAACUUAUUUUCUCAAAAACAAUUAAUUUCGAAUAAGCUUUGUUUACGAGUUCACCUCUGUUUCCAAACAGGUGUGUUUUUACUUUCUAUCUAUAUGUCCCUACUUCAACGUGCCACAAGUGGAUGAUCAGUCUCAAAGAUAAUAGAAUUGUUAUAUACUCUCACGAGAGAUAUGCUGAAACCAGAGACUCCGCUUAGAUCCCUUUCCACAAAUCACAAAUACAUUGUACGUACCAUCCUAUGUAUAACUGAAAACUUGAAGAGGAGUUUGCAAAACUAACUCUGCAUAACUGUCUCCAUUAUCCCGCCUAACGUCAACUCCUCUUCGCAGUGAUGUAGAUGCUAGCCUUUGUGUGUUUGAUGGGCUUGCCAUCGAACUUCAUAAAAGACUAGAAAGCUUCCGUCUGGAACCCAAUGUUGUUUUGUCCAUCUCGCAAACAGAACUCUGAAGAGCAUAAUCAAUAUGCUGGGAAAUAUAUGAAGGACUCUUUUACAUGCAUUUUGAGAAGAUGCAGCACCAAAAGUGAAGGAUAUAGAUAAUGAAUCUGUAAGAAGUGCAGGCCAAGGUUUUAGGAAACAAGUAGUGAGAAAGAAAGAGAAGUGUAUGUAGCUUAGUGGAUGUCAGACUGAUUAAACUUUAGAGUACGCACCAAGGAACAAGCCUAUGGAGCAUUCAGCCAGGCACAUAUCAUACUUUCUGAGACAAAAAGGUAAGAACAUCACAAACAACUAAUAGGUUUUAGGUGUGAGAGAGCUUCUUAAGUAUGAAUGUUAUGCUCACCAACUUUUUAAACGAUAGUAAUGCGGAUGCUCAUACGCUAAAAGGAAUUCAGAUUUUAUUUUCUUUAAAGUAUUCGGGAGUAUGUGGUUGAAUCAGUUUGUUCGAUUUGUUUUCAUUUGAAAUAAAUAAAUACAUUUUGGUUUUAAUUCAUUUAACAGAAAUUCUUUCA